UAUAAGGUUUUCAUUUGGACCUUCAUUAAAAAUCUUGCCGGAGCUUCGAUCCAAACUUUGAUCCUGAAAAUCUUUGUGUCAUGUUUCAGCUCCACCACCUUCGGUACUGAUACCUCGUCUCCAUUUACCUUCAUUCUUGCCCAUUUAAGAUGAUUCUGAAGCUCAUUUUCCUCCUCUGUCUGAAUCCAUCCACCGCAAAGAUCGCCUAUUUCUUAGAAAAACUUUUGGGACCAGAACUGUAAUGGAAAUCCUACCAACCUGAUCCACACUUGCUUCAGAUUACAUGUUAGAUAGCAUUUGACAUCGACGACGACCAGUUGAGUUGGAAUUUGUGAAUUUUCCAUAACCAGGUUCAUUUCACAAUAUGGUCGGCAUCCUUCUUUGUGGGUAACUGAUUUCAUGCCAUCUCAUAGAUGUUGACACCAUGAAGAUGCUUCCAAGAUCUCGUUGACCAUUGGUUAAUCUCCAACAAGAUGACAUUUGGGAUUUCCUUUGGUAGACUGCCAACCACACACCUAGCCAGUAACUCAUUUUGGGUUCUGUCUGCUUCUUCAGAGAUUACCAAAGACUUUCCUUGUCUGUGGGUUUUAGCCGCAUUCAUUUCUCUUGUGGUCCAUUUGUUGUUUCUGCAUGCAUAUAGUAACCCCUUUUCUGUAUUUCAAUGUAUUAAUGUCUCUGUCCUUUUCCUCUUAGCAUUAAUGACAUUUGUUAUUUUGAAAGCAAUGUCUAGCCACCCUGAGUUGAAUGACCAUUCAGGAAAUUCUAAUGUAGCGCCCGGAUAUGUUGAAAUUUUUGGAGUAAAAGAAUUUUGAGGCAUGAUCAUGAAAUUUCCAUCUUCUGAUCGACUUUCCUUUGGUUUUUGAUUCUUCUCUUAGGAUAAAACUUACCCACUCCAUUGUCUUUUGGCUGAACCUCUAGAAAAGUGCCUAGGAGCACAAAUUAAUCCCAAAGUAUGUAGCGUUUCCUAGUUUAAAAGUUUCCUAGUUUAAAGUUUUCCUAGUUUAAAGUUUACAUAUACUAUGCCUAGAGGUUGACAAGAGCCAUUCAGCUCAUCAAGCAUAUCAUCUAAUCAAGGGAUAACAUGACGAUACUUUACUGUGAUCUUUUUGAUGGCCCGCCAAUCAACAGACAUGCACCAUGUUCCAUCUUUCUUUGGAACCAAGAGAACCGGAACGACGCACAAUGAACUUUCUCUCACAUUGCCCUUGUUGAGGAGUUCCUAAACUCACCUAUGUAACUCUUUGUUGUCCUCCGGAUUACUUUGAUAAAUCGGCUUGUUUAGCUAAUUGUAAGCCAAACUUCAAUUUAGUGCUCAAUUCCCUGAAGAGGGGUAAUCCACUUGAAGCUCCUUUAAGAAGACAUCCUCAUAAUCUUGCUAAAGAAGGGAAAGAAAAUGGGGUACAGAAGAAUGAGAUUGGUUAGUUUGCAAACAUUAUCCGUAUGUGUGAUAAAGAUCAAAGAACAUUUGGCUCCCACUUCCUCCCUGUAUCUUUCUGUACUUAGCCAACAACUCUUGGGCCUUUCUUCUCAACUUCCUCCUUUCUUCCUUUUCACUGCCCUCGACUUCCACAUGUUCUUCCUCAACUCACUCAUCUUCUGAUACAAUUCAUUUAGUUGAGAGGGUGACAUAGGAUGAAGGACAUAUUUAUGAUCAUCCAACACAAGUGAAUAUUUGUUGGUUCUCCCCUCAUGUUUGGUUGAAAAAUCAUAUUGCGGAGGACUUUCGAUUAGCACAUAACAAGCUUGCACUAUAUCACUUAAGUAUCUCAUUUUGGUACUUCCCGAUUUUGAACUUGAUCAACACUUGUCAAUGCUAGCAACGUUGUCACAACUCCUAUGAUCAAUGAUCAAUGAACAUAAUCAUCUUUUAUGAGGCACUUGCAGUGGAAACGAUUCUCCCUUUGACUUGGAUCAUCCAUGGCCUUGCUAAUCAUAACUCGCCUCACCACAUACAUUGGUACACUGAACUCUCCUUCUUCAGGCCAAGCUUCUUUAAUUGUGGCCUUCCUAAUCAAACCAUUAGGAGCGGUGACAUCUUUUCCUUACAUGGGUCUGGUUCCUCAUUUCAUCACCUUCAAUUUCAUCCUCUUCUUGGGUUUCCUCUCCAAAACCCUCCAAGAUCUACCCUUUCACCAAUAUACAAUUCCCCUCCUUGAACUAGCACAUUCAACCGAUUGGGACAUUCAUGCAUCAUAUGACCCCAUCCUCUACACUUGUGACAUUGAAUGCCUCUAGGAAAUUUGGUUGGGUCCUUGUUAACUUCCUCUCUUGGUGGAUACAUUAAUGUGUUAACCUCUACCCUAUGGUUUCUUCUCAUAAGGCUGUUAGAGAUCCUUAUUCUUCUUCCAACCCGAUGUUUGAGCUUCUCCCCUGUUCUUUCUUAAAAGAAUUUGAUGAUGAAAUACCCUUGUACUUAGGUACUUUCUCCUCUCUGAAUUCCCACUCUACCUCAUUGGUCUCUUCGAAGAUGUCAUUCAAUUUAGAAAACUCGUGAUAGUCAUCUUAGAAAAGACCUACCUGGAAGCGAAUAACGACAUGCUCUUCAUUCUCGGUGUAUUCUAGCUUCAAGAUCAAAUUUUGGAGCUCAUCAUAGUAAGCUAACAAUCAACACAUGCACGAAGUUCCAUCUCUCUUUGGAACCAAGAGAACCGGAAUGACGCAUGAACUUAUACUUUUCACAUAGCACUUGUUGAGGAGUUCCUCAACUUGCCUUUGUAACUCUUUGGUGUCCUCCAAAUUACUUCUAUAAGCCACGAUUUAUUUUGAAAUUGUGAGCCCAACAUGAAAUCAAUUUGGUGCUAAUCUCCCCAAAGAGGGAAGCUCCUUUAGGAAGACAUCCUCAUACCCCUACAAAAGAAGGGAAUUAGAAUGGGGUAGAGAAGAAUGAGAAUGGUUAGUUUGCAACACAUGAUCCCUAUGUGAUAAAGAUCAAAUAACUUUUGGCUUCCACUUCCUCCCUUUAUCUCUUUGUACUUAACCAACAACUCUUGAGCCUUUCCUCCGAACUUCCUCCUUUCUUCCUCUUCAUUGCCCUCGGCUUCCAUUUGUUCUUUCUCAACUCGCUCAUCUUUUGAUACACUUCAUUGAAUUGAGAGGGUGACGUAGGAUGAAGGACAUAUUUAUGAUCAUCCAACAAAAGUGAUAUUUGUUAGUUCUCGCCUCUAUGUUUUGUUUACCAAUCAUAUUGCUAAGGUCUUAUGAGUAGCACAUGACAAGCUUGCACUACAUCACAUAAGAAUCUCAUCUUGGUACUUCCCGAUUUUGAACUUGAUCAACACUUGUAUAUGAACCCUCAAUACUCCACACUCACUCAACCAUUGAAGCUUGUAAGGUGUAGCAUGCUUAUGGGUAGGAAGUUCCAAGAAUUUCACUAUAGUAGUGCUAGCAACGUGGGCACAACUCCCACUAUCAAUGAUCGAUGAACAUAAUCAUCUUUAAUGAGGCACUAAGAGUGAAAAAGAUUCUCCCUUUGACUUGGAUCAUCCAUGGCCUUGCUAAUCAUAACUCCCCUCACCACGUACAUUGGUUCGCUGAACUCAUCUUGAGGUUUUUCUACCCGUAUCAAGAUAAUCUUUUUACAGUAAUUUAAAUCAUAUAAUAAAUAAAUGGUUGGGGAUUAACUUAAGAGGGUACUGCUCUCAAUCUUACAACAAAGGUAACCAGUAGCUUUUGAUAGUACAUAGGUAAAAUGCACAUUUAUGGGAAAAUUAUGGCGCAAUCAGACUCUCUAGUGGCAAUAAAUUUGUCAAUUAACAUUGCCACUAGACAUACAUGAAUUAUAUCGCCUUAUAAAGUGUGAGAAGUUUUAACUCACUCUCUACGAUCUAUUGACCAGCAAGGCAAUGCAAAAGUGACCACCUUCCUUGACUUUACAAUUGCUGCAAAUGUUGAUGGUGACUCUCAUGUAAUUCACUUACCCUUCGAUACAACACUAUAGGAAGAAUGGAACAAGCUCUUGGUAGAUGGGAUAAAUGUUUGAAUAGGAGGCCAGCUCGUACCAGAGUAGGGAAGAUUGUCCACGUACUACAAGGGUGAGACAUGGUAGUAAACUUGAAAUUACACAUAGGUUUACCACAAGUUCACAUUCUUUAUAUGAAAAGCAUGAUGAUAUGCAGACCCACAAUCGACGUGCUUUUAUCAUCCCUUUCUCCUCUCAUGUCUUGCUUUUAUCCAUUUCACUUAUCCAGACUCCUAACUGGUCCCUUGAACAUUCUACCUGUAAAUUGAAAUAGUUAUUCAGAGGCAAAUACCGCAAUGUGGCCUGCGAUUUUGGAAUUCUUGAAUUGGAUUUGCAUGGCCUGCAUUAAUCGAUUAUAAGCGGUGGUGCUGUACUUUCUAUCAUCUCUUAAUGAAAUCUAUCAAUUGAUUUUGCUUUCAUAGUUAAUGAGUUGGUGAGCUCACGACAACAAACUGCAUGCUUGGAAGUGUUAAGUUACCAGUAGAUCUGUCAUAUAUGAAACUACUUUAUAUAUAUAGAUAUCGCUUUUGAUGACUGCAGAUAUAUUUUUCUAAGGUGAGCAGCUCCCCAGUUUCAACAGUUAGCUUCUUUAUUCCACAUUGUUUUUGCUCAGUUUUGCUCCAUAUCUUUUCCCUGUACGUCUUCUAGGUUUACUGAUAGAAGUGUUGAUGGUUUGAGCUGGAAUUCUGUUUCUGUGUUUGAUCUUGCCUCUUAGUUUGAUUUAUUUCUCUUAUGUGCAAUUUGGCCUGUUGGGAUAUAUACAUGUUUCGAUUUGAGGUUUGUUUUUCCUAUGCAGGACAUAGUUCUGUAUGUGUGAACUAAGUUUGGGACUUUUGGGUUCUUUAUGCACUGCAGGAAUUUGCUGUUGUGAGGUUUUCUGUUUCAAAAUUUAUUUUUUCAUGUGCUUCAUGUGGACUAUUUGAGCAAAAGCAAGAAAUCAUCUAUACAUCUUUGGACUAACUACAAAAUUUUUGCUCAUAGAUGUGCCAGACAGAGAUACAAUCUCCUUUGCCAUAAAUUCUUAUGCAUGAGUUUAGAAUAAAUUAAUCAGAUAAGGAGGGCUUUUUUUAAUAUCAUUACCAAAUUGGUAAAAUUCAACUUCUCUAAGAAUAAUAAAGCUAACCUCUAGAAUUCAAAUUUGAAAUUACAUUUAUUGACAAACCAUAUGAUAAAUCCAGACGUUUGGUUUUGUUUUAGGUUUAUUUUACGUGCGACAAAUCAAAAGAAGUGGUGGAUCUUAUAUGUACAUAGAUUUGGCUUUUGAAUUUGUUGUUGUUUUGUGUCUUUUUCCUUCAGUUAUGUGGCCCUAGUGACGGUUUGGGAUAGUUUGUACUAUGUUAUUCAUUCUUUUUGAUUGAUGAAGAUUGUGUUCUAGACAAAAUUUAACUUAUUUAAUAGAACCUAUUAUAUCUCAAUAUGUCAUACAGGCCACAAAUUUCUAUGGAAAACAAAAAAUGUAAGAAAACGCUAAUAAGAUACAGUAGACUAAAACGACUGAAACUUUAAUAAUGACAUUUAGUGAAAAUAUGUACAAUAACUUCAAUACAAUUUACACAAAAAACAAGGUUGUUAAGCAAUCCUUUCUUACCCACUGUGUACAUAGAGUUCACCUCUCCAACACGGCUAAAUAUUUUUGAGAUUGCAGCCAUAUGCAAAGCAAUAUAAAAAUUAUGCAAAAGUUGUAGGUACUCUAAAUAAUGAAAAAGAAAUCCAUGUCAUAUACUUUACAUGUUUAGGGGUUGUGAUGAGUUGAAUAAAAUUUAGGUAACUUGUAUUCUACUAUCUUGUUAUUGACCUGCAUUUACACACAAGAUCUAUAUAACACAGAUUUUUAUGCAUGAAGACUCUACGUGUGAACUGAAUAUGGGACUUUUGUUCAUUCCGUGCUAUGACCGUUCUAUUUGGUGCUUGUUGCGGUUUUGGGUGUGAUGAUUUGGUUUGGUGUUAUAUUUUUGUGUUUAGUCUUGAUUUUUGGUUGAAUAUUUCUUUUCCGUCUGAUGUGGCAUGUUGAGAUGUAUAAAUAUUCCUAUUUGAUGGUUGUUUUUCUAAUUCAUGACAUAUGACUACACAUGUAAACUGAGUUUUGGAUUUUUUUGUUCUUUCUGAGCUACGAUAAUAAGCAAUGGUGAGAUUUAUUGUCUUAAAAUUCAACUUCUUCUGUGUUUCAUGUGGACUAUUAUAAAGUUAUGCAACUUGCCCAUAGGGAUUGAAACUUCUUUUCUCUGUUAGGGUGAAACCGGAGUUAAAUAUGCACCUAAAGGGAAUUUGAUCUCUCUUGUCUGUGUAAACUCUUCUGUGAAGCAAUACACAGAAGGAGAAAAGAAAGAAACUGCAGCUCCAUAACUAAACUCUUCAGUUAUUCUCCUCUGCGACAGUCUGUAUCUACACCUCCCUAUUCAAAAGAUUUAGCAAGAACCUAUUCUUGAAGAAACCACAAAGCAAAUAUAAGCGAUUAAAAUGUUUAUAAACAAGGAAUACGAAGAGAGUUUAGUUGUUUAAAGUGUCCCUUUAGGACAUGCCACAAUUCUUUUUUUUCUUUUGUAAUGAGAUAGAAAAAUACAAUGUUUUACAAAAAGGAGUGCUAAAUCUUUAGGCGGUGUUUCUUAUUUUUUUGUA